rnacentral:rRNA from 1 species
CAUAACGUCGCAAGACCAAAGAGGGGGACCUUCGGGCCUCUUGCCAUCGGAUGUGCCCAGAUGGGAUUAGCUAGUAGGUGGGGUAACGGCUCACCUAGGCGACGAUCCCUAGCUGGUCUGAGAGGAUGACCAGCCACACUGGAACUGAGACACGGUCCAGACUCCUACGGGAGGCAGCAGUGGGGAAUAUUGCACAAUGGGCGCAAGCCUGAUGCAGCCAUGCCGCGUGUAUGAAGAAGGCCUUCGGGUUGUAAAGUACUUUCAGCGGGGAGGAAGGGAGUAAAGUUAAUACCUUUGCUCAUUGACGUUACCCGCAGAAGAAGCACCGGCUAACUCCGUGCCAGCAGCCGCGGUAAUACGGAGGGUGCAAGCGUUAAUCGGAAUUACUGGGCGUAAAGCGCACGCAGGCGGUUUGUUAAGUCAGAUGUGAAAUCCCCGGGCUCAACCUGGGAACUGCAUCUGAUACUGGCAAGCUUGAGUCUCGUAGAGGGGGGUAGAAUUCCAGGUGUAGCGGUGAAAUGCGUAGAGAUCUGGAGGAAUACCGGUGGCGAAGGCGGCCCCCUGGACGAAGACUGACGCUCAGGUGCGAAAGCGUGGGGA